ensembl:snRNA U6 U6 spliceosomal RNA
GUGCUCACUUCAGCAGCACAUAGACUAAAAUUGGAAUGAUACAGAGAAGAUUAGCAUGGCUCCUGCGCAAGGAUAACAUGCAAAUUUGUGAAGCAUUCCAUAUUAAA